AGAAUCAACGCUGGCGGCGUGCCUAACACAUGCAAGUCGAACGAGAAAGUGGAGCAAUCCAUGAGUACAGUGGCGUACGGGUGAGUAACACGUGACUAACCUACCCUCGAGUGGGGAAUAAACCUCGGGAAACCGGGGCUAAUACCGCAUAACAUCUUCGGAUCAAAUGCGUAAGCAGCUUGAGGAGGGGGUCGCGGCCGAUUAGCUAGUUGGCGGGGUAAUGGCCCACCAAGGCAAUGAUCGGUAGCCGGCCUGAGAGGGCGCACGGCCACACUGGAACUGAAACACGGUCCAGACUCCUACGGGAGGCAGCAGUGGGGAAUUUUGCGCAAUGGGGGGAAACCCUGACGCAGCAACGCCGCGUGGAGGAUGAAGCCCCUUGGGGUGUAAACUCCUUUCGAUCGGGACGAUUAUGACGGUACCGGAUGAAGAAGCACCGGCUAACUCUGCGCCAGCAGCCGC
rnacentral:rRNA from 1 species